UACGUAGGGCGCAAGCGUUGUCCGGAAUUAUUGGGCGUAAAGAGCUCGUAGGCGGCUUGUCGCGUCGACUGUGAAAUCCCGCGGCUCAACCGCGGGCUUGCAGUGGGUACGGGCAGACUAGAGUGCGGUAGGGGAGAUUGGAAUUCCUGGUGUAGCGGUGGAAUGCGCAGAUAUCAGGAGGAACACCGAUGGCGAAGGCAGAUCUCUGGGCCGUAACUGACGCUGAGGAGCGAAAGCAUGGGGAGCGAACAGG
rnacentral:rRNA from 1 species